UUUCCGUAGGUGAACCUGCGGAAGGAUCAUUGUCGAAACCUGCCCAGCAGAACGACCCGCGAACUUGUAUAAACAACCGGGGGCGGGGGGCGUUCUCGCCCCGUGCCCCCGAACGGCGGGGAGACACUCGUGCCUUCUUGCCGAACAACGAACCCCGGCGCGGUCUGCGCCAAGGAACUUCAACUAAAGAGUGCCUCCGGUCGCCUCGGAAACGGCGUGCGUGCCGGGGGUGAAUCUUGUGCAAAACCAUAACGACUCUCGGCAACGGAUAUCUCGGCUCUC
rnacentral:misc_RNA from 1 species